CCUCGGGGGGCAACAGUGGGGAAUAUUGCACAAUGGGGGAAACCCUGAUGCAGCAACGCCGCGUGGGUGAAGGAGCGUUUCGGCGCGUAAAGCCCUGUCAGCGGGGAAGAAGAAAGACGGUACCCGACCAAGAAGCCCCGGCUAACUACGUGCCAGCAGCCGCGGUAAUACGUAGGGGGCGAGCGUUAUCCGGAAUUACUGGGUGUAAAGGGAGCGUAGGCGGGGAUGCAAGUUGGGUGUCAAAACUACCGGCGCAACUGGUAGUCGCACUCAAAACUGCAGCUAUUGAGUGAAGUAGAGGUAGGCGGAAUUCCUAGUGUAGCGGUGAAAUGCGUAGAUAUUAGGAGGAACACCAGUGGCGAAGGCGGCCUGCUGGGCUUUUACUGACGCUGAGGCUCGAAAGUGUGGGGAGCAAACAGGAUUAGAUACCCUAGUAGUC
rnacentral:rRNA from 1 species